GGGGAAUAUUGCGCAAUGGGGGAAACCCUGACGCAGCAACGCCGCGUGAAUGAAGAAGGCCUUAGGGUUGUAAAGUUCUGUUUUCUGGGACGAUAAUGACGGUACCAGAGGAGGAAGCCACGGCUAACUACGUGCCAGCAGCCGCGGUAAUACGUAGGUGGCAAGCGUUGUCCGGAUUUACUGGGCGUAAAGGAUGCGUAGGCGGAUGUUUAAGUGAGAUGUGAAAUACCCGAGCUCAACUUGGGUGCUGCAUUUCAAACUGGAUAUCUAGAGUGCAGGAGAGGAAAGCGGAAUUCCUAGUGUAGCGGUGAAAUGCGUAGAGAUUAGGAAGAACACCAGUGGCGAAGGCGGCUUUCUGGACUGUAACUGACGCUGAGGCAUGAAAGCGUGGGGAGCAAAC
rnacentral:rRNA from 1 species